rnacentral:rRNA from 1 species
UACGUAGGGCGCGAGCGUUGUCCGGAAUUAUUGGGCGUAAAGAGCUCGUAGGCGGCCAGUUGCGUCUGCUGUGAAAUCCCGGGGCUCAACCCCGAACUUGCAGUGGGUACGGGCAGACUAGAGUGUGGUAGGGGAGACUGGAAUUCCUGGUGUAGCGGUGAAAUGCGCAGAUAUCAGGAGGAACACCGAUGGCGAAGGCAGGUCUCUGGGCCACUACUGACGCUGAGAAGCGAAAGCAUGGGGAGCGAACAGG